AACGCACAUUGCGCCCGCCAGUAUUCUGGCGGGCAUGCCUGUCCGAGCGUCAUUUCAACCAUCAAGCCCCGGGCUUGUGUUGGGGCCCUGCGGCUGCCGCAGGCCCUAAAAACCAGUGGCGGGCUCGCUAGUCACUCCGAGCGUAGUAGUUUACACCUCGCUCAGGGCGUGCUGCGGGUUCCGGCCGUUAAAAGCCUUAUUUUACCCAAGGUUGACCUCGGAUCAGGUAGGAAGACCCGCUGAACUUAA
rnacentral:misc_RNA from 1 species